rnacentral:ribozyme from 1 species
UGCAUAAAAAGAAAAAAGAAAAAAAAGAGAAAAAAGAAAAAAGAAUCCACCCACAGCAGCUGCGAGCAGCUAGGUGUUCAUUCAUGCCUUCGCUGUUGGGUGGGAGUAAAUGAAUUCGUUUUUCAUUCAUUGCAGCUGCAUGUUUGCGGUGAUGUUGAUCGAAGAAAAGGAGCGUUAGCUUUGAAUGUUGUGGUUUUUUUAAUCAUGGAAAGAAUCUCGGUAAAAGCGAUUUUAAACAUUAUCUUCACUUCACUGCUCAAAUUACAAAGUUCGAGAGAAUCGGU